UCCUCUCCUCACCUCCUGUGAGACUCAGUCACCUGCCCUGGUCCUGCAGCUGCCUGUCUGCCAGGAGGGCAGAGGGAACCACGCUGUGCUGGCAACUGGAAUUACAUCCUUAGUCUUUCUGGGAGGCUCCAAGACAACCUUGAAGAAAGGUGCGGGGGGGGGGGGUUGGGGGGGGAAGCAUCUGUAAUGUCAGCCCAGAGUCACAAACUGUCCCCCUUUUAGGGACAAAGUCAUGGAGACUGCUGUGAGCCACACAGAGGAGUUGACAUGGUCUAUAGCCCCAGGGGAUCAGAGCUCUGUCCUGCAGAAGCCCCAGUCAAGGGUCUUAACACAAAAGUAGUUCUGAGGGGAAGAGGGCAUUCGAAGAAUCAGGAAGGAGUUGUUAGGCCGACUCCGAGGUCAAGGGUGAGAGAGCACACGUUGUAUGGAUUCAGACACACGGGUUUAACGGCUUCCAUCAAUACUGGGUUUAUCAGGACCUUGGACAGUGCUCACGGACUGCUCUGUGCCCACAUUUCUUGACUGGUCUCAUGGAGCACUAAGAGGUUAUGGGAGCCAGCAAGAUGGCUCAGUGGGCUAAGGCCCUUGUGACCUUACCUCAUGACCUGUGUUCUGAUCGCAGAACUCACGUGGUAGAAGGAAAGAACCAACCCCACAGCUGUCUCUUCGGUCCUCUCACUCAUUGCCUAAUCCACGCAAAUAAAGAAGUGCAAAAAAAAAAAAUAGUUGGUGUGACUGGAGAAGGAACUGGAGAAGGAACCUGGAGGCAGGAGUCAGUCAACAGCCAGGGAGUAAGACUCAUAGGGACAGCAAGGUAGGCUACC
rnacentral:lncRNA from 1 species